rnacentral:rRNA from 1 species
UGGGGAAUAUUGGGCAAUGGGGGCAACCCUGAUCCAGCCAUGCCGCGUGUGUGAAGAAGGCCUUUUGGUUGUAAAGCACUUUAAGCAGGGAGGAGAGGCUAAUGGUUAAUACCCAUUAGAUUAGACGUUACCUGCAGAAUAAGCACCGGCUAACUCUGUGCCAGCAGCCGCGGUAAUACAGAGGGUGCGAGCGUUAAUCGGAAUUACUGGGCGUAAAGCGAGUGUAGGUGGCUCAUUAAGUCACAUGUGAAAUCCCCGGGCUUAACCUGGGAACUGCAUGUGAUACUGGUGGUGCUAGAAUAUGUGAGAGGGAAGUAGAAUUCCCAGGUGUAGCGGUGAAAUGCGUAGAGAUCUGGAGGAAUACCGAUGGCGAAGGCAGCUUCCUGGCAUAAUAUUGACACUGAGAUUCGAAAGCGUGGGUAGCAAACAGGAUUAGAUACCCUGGUAGUCCACGCCGUAAACGAUGUCUACUAGCCGUUGGGGUCCUUGAGACUUUAGUGGCGCAGUUAACGCGAUAAGUAGACCGCCUGGGGAGUACGGCCGCAAGGUUAAAACUCAAAGGAAUUGC